GAUGAAGAACGCAGCGAAAUGCGAUAAGUAAUGUGAAUUGCAGAAUUCAGCGAAUCAUCGAAUCUUUGAACGCACAUUGCGCCCCCCGGCAUUCCGGGGGGCAUGCCUGUCCGAGCGUCAUUGCACCCCUCGAGCCCGCGCGGGUUUCGGUGUUGGGCCGCCGUCCCCCGGGGGGGGGGCCGGGCCCGAAAGGCAGUGGCGGCCCCGGGGCGACUUCCCGCGCGAUCGCAGCACCUCGCGGCCGAAGCGUUCGCCCCGCGGGCCCGCCUGGACCACCAGUGUGACGUACCGGUUGACCUCGGAUCAGGCAGGGAUACCCGCUGAACUUAAGCAUAUCAAUAAGCGGAGGA
rnacentral:misc_RNA from 1 species